rnacentral:misc_RNA from 1 species
GUGAAUGAAGCAUCAGGAAAAAGCAUCUGCAGCUGGAUGUUGGAGGAGCAUUAUAUACCAUUUGUCUACUUGAUAAUAUUGAUCUCAUUUUAUUGCAUCAAAUAAUACUUCAUGGUAUAAGGACCAAAAGAAAGGAAAGAAGAUAGUUGGAAGAACAUCUUGUACCUGAAGGGAUGAAACCGAUGGCGUCCUGCUCCCCUGAAUCUGAGAGGACCUUCAGGACGCUUCUCACAUUGUUCCAUACGAUUGAAACAAUUUGCAAGGUAUGCACCUUGUUGAGCCGCAACCUGAGCUGUUGCUGGAAGAUUUUUCAUUUGAGAGUCCACUUCAGAUAGAGCCUGCUUAAACAUUUCUAUGUCUAUCUUCUUUUUGUCAUUUCCUUGAGCACCCUUCAGUAAGUCAUCAAAAUUUUUCAGUUUUUUCUUUUGCAAAUAAAUAUUCACUUGAGGGUACCUCUCACAGAUGUGGUCAACAACUUCUUUAAAGUCUUGCAAAUCUAAAACACCAGUAUUAUUCUUGUCUGCCUUGCUGAAUAUUGC